rnacentral:tRNA from 1 species
GGGACCGUAGUUCAAUAGGCUAGAGCACCGCCCUGUCACGGCGGAAGUUGCGGGUUCGAGCCCCGUCAGUCCCG